rnacentral:rRNA from 1 species
UGGGGAAUAUUGCACAAUGGGCGAAAGCCUGAUGCAGCAACGCCGCGUGGGUGAUGAAGGCCUUCGGGUUGNAAAGCUCUGUCUUUUGGGACGAUAAUACGGUACCAAAGGAGGAAGCCACGGCUAACUACGUGCCAGCAGCCGCGGUAAUACGUAGGUGGCAAGCGUUGUCCGGAUUUACUGGGCGUAAAGGAUGCGUAGGCGGAUUUUUAAGUGAGAUGUGAAAACCCUAAGCUUAACUUGGGGACUGCAUUUCAUACUGGAAAUCUAGAGUGCGGGAGAGGAGAAUGGAAUUCCUAGUGUAGCGGUGAAAUGCGUAGAGAUUAGGAAGAACACCAGUGGCGAAGGCGAUUCUCUGGACCGUAACUGACGCUGAGGCAUGAAAGCGUGGGUAGCAAACAGGAUUAGAUACCCUGGUAGUCCACGCCGUAAACGAUGAGUACUAGGUGUAGGAGGUAUCGACCCCUUCUGUGCCGCAGUUAACACAAUAAGUACUCCGCCUGGGAAGUACGAUCGCAAGAUUAAAACUUAAAUGAAUUGACGGGGUCAUAGCUGUUUCCU